GACGAACGCUGGCGGCGUGCUUAACACAUGCAAGUCGAACGCUGAAGCUCAGCUUGCUGGGUGGAUGAGUGGCGAACGGGUGAGUAACACGUGAGUAACCUGCCCUCUUCUUUGGGAUAACGCCCGGAAACGGGUGCUAAUACUGGAUAUUCACUGAUUCUCGCAUGGGGGUUGGUGGAAAGGUUUUUUCUGGUGGGGGAUGGGCUCGCGGCCUAUCAGCUUGUUGGUGGGGUGAUGGCCUACCAAGGCUUUGACGGGUAGCCGGCCUGAGAGGGUGACCGGUGACAUUGGGACUGAGAUACGGCCCAGACUCAUACGGGAGGCAGCAGUGGGGAAUAUUGCACAAUGGGAGAAAGCCUGAUGCAGAGACGCCACGUGAGGGAUGGAGGCCUUCGGGUUGUAAACCUCUUUCGCUCAUGGUCAAGCCGCAGCGUUGGGUUGUGGUGAGGGUAGUGGGUAAAGAAGCGCCGGCUAACUACGUG
rnacentral:rRNA from 1 species